rnacentral:rRNA from 1 species
GUAGUCAUAUGCUUGUCUCAAAGCUUAAGCCAUGCAAGUCUAAGUACAAACUAAAUUAAAGUAAAACCGCAAAAUGCUCAUUAAACUAGUUAUAGUUUACUAGAAUAAAAAUUUUAUUUGGAUAACUGUGGUAAUUCUAGAGCUAAUACAUGCAAUUAAGUCUUGCCCUUAUUUGGGAAAGAUGCUUUUAUUAGAUCAAAACCAAUCGAAUAGUUUACUAUUCGUUUUUUUGAUGACUCUGAAUAACACCACAGAUCGCACGGUCUUUGUACUGGCGACAUAUCUUUCAAAUGCCUGACUUAUCAACUGUCGAUGGUAGAUUAUAUGUUUACCAUGGUUGUAACGGGUAACGGGGAAUCAGGGUUCGAUUCCGGAGAGGGAGCCUGAGAAACGGCUACCACAUCCAAGGAAGGACUCCCAGCACGGGGAGGUAGUGACAAAAAAUAACGAUACGGGACUCAUCCGAGGCCCCGUAAUCGGAAUGAAUACACUUUAAAUUCUUUAAUGAGGAUCUAUUAGAGGGCCAGUCUGGUGCCAGCAGCCGCGGUAAUUCCAGCUCUAAUAGCGUAUAUUAAAGUUGUUGCGGUUAAAAAGCUCGUAGUUGGUUCUGUGUGCCAUGCUGUUGGUUCACCGCCUGUCGGUGCAACUGACAUGUCAUGGGACGUCCUGUCGGUGGUAAUUAAAGCCCUAUAAUUAGUUAGGUUCGCUUAAUCUAAUUUAUAGGUAACUUUAAUUACCGAUGAACUCCUGCCGCGGUCCUCUUUAUUGAGUGUCGAGGUGGGCCGACAUGUUUACUUUGAACAAAUUAGAGUGCUUAAAGCAGGCAAAAAUCUGCCUAAAUAGUGGUGCAUGGAAUAAUAGAAUAAGAACUUGGUUCUAUUUUGUUGGUUUUCGGAAUCCAAGUUAAUGAUCAAUAUGGACAGGCGGGGGCAUUCGUAUUUCGACGUUAGAGGUGAAAUUCUUGGAUCGUCGAAAGACGAACUAAAGCGAAAGCAUUUGCCAAGUAUGUCCAAAUUGAUCAAGAACGAAAGUUAGAGGCUCGAAGGCGAUCAGAUACCGCCCUAGUUCUAACCAUAAACGAUGUCAGCCAGAGAUCCGUAGAUGUUUUUUUCAUGACUCGACGGGCAGCUUCCGGGAAACCAAAGCUUUUGGGUUCCGGGGGAAGUAUGGUUGCAAAGCUGAAACUUAAAGGAAUUGACGGAAGGGCACCACCAGAUGUGGAGCCUGCGGCUUAAUUUGACUCAACACGGGAAACCUCACCAGGCCCAGACAUUGGAAGGAUUGACAGAUCGAUAGCUCUUUCUUGAUUCAGUGGGUAGUGGUGCGUUGGUGGAACGAUUUGUCUGGUUAAUUCCGAUAACGAACGAGACUCUAGCUUACUAACUAGGCGUCUGAUAUUUUUGCUAUCAGCGUCUUUUUUCUUCUUAGAAGGACAGGCGGCUCUUAGCCGCACGAGAUUGAGCAAUAACAGGUCAGUGAUGCCCUUAGAUGUUCUGGGCCGCACGCGCGCUACACUGAAGGAAUCAGCGUGUGUUUCCCUGUCUGAAAGGACCGGGUAACCCGCUGAACCUCCUUCGUGCUAGGAAUUGGGGCUUGCAAUUAUUCCCCAUAAACGAGGAAUAUCCAGUAAGCGUGAGUCAUAAGCUCGCGUUGAUUACGUCCCUGCCCUUUGUACACACCGCCCGUCGCUGUUACCGAUUGAAUGAUUUAGUGAGGUCUUCAGACUGGCAAAUAACUAUUGCCUUUAUGGCAGUACGAUUUUUGCUGGAAAGAUGACCAAACUUGAUUAUUUAGAGGAAACAAAAGUCGUAACAAGG